CGUGUGUGCUGGGUGGAAAAGGGGUGGGCUGAGCGGUCGUGGGUGUCAGGGCAUCGAACGUGGGGCUUGAUGGAUGAGAGAGAGAGGGAGUUAACACCACCACGCCCAUGUCUCUCUCGUCUCUCCCGUUCCAACCAAAUCCGGGGCUGGCGGCGGCAAACCCUAGCGCUGCGGCGGCGGCGGUGGCGGCGGCGGCAGACCCUAGCGCCAUGGACUGGCCGGUGCAGGGGACGGCGAUCACGGCCGGUUGAUGAUGGCGCCUCAGGUCCAUAAAGCGUUGGCUCCUCUCCAUCGACAUGACCAGCACAAAAGAUCGGAUGAAGAAUACAAGAGGAAGACUAAGAACAAGUUUAUUUGGUUGACAGUUUAUAACCUCAGCAAGGAGCACGUGACAUUGACGCCAUCACUGAGCUCAAGAUGGUGCCUUGCAAUGAUCAUUGCACUUCUCUUCCAUACAUCAGUGCCACUUCCAAAGCGGAGUGCCUCCUAGAGGAUAGUCUCUAUUAUCAGAAGGGAACACACGUUCGAAAUAAUAACAUUAUAGGAAGAAGAAGCUGAACUGGAAUAUGUGUCUUCUCUUCCUGAAAGUUUCCUUAAAUGAUUCAGUACCCCAUGAAAUUAAUCUGGACUGAAAUUACAUAUUUUUAUUAGGUGAAGCAGCACAGAAGACAAAGAAGGCAUAUUGUGCGAGAGCGGCGAUGGCAUGGACGAGCUUGUCUGCUCCCGGUUCGGGUACCAAUGGGACAGCGACACGUUCUAGCUUGCACUGAAUGUGAUCGUAUAGAGACACGAUGGAUAUGCCCAAUCCUACAGUGGCGUACGGAGCCGGCUUCGUGUGAGAUGACGGUGGGUUAGCGGUCCAUCAUGCACGUGUUCCGUUGGUACAAAUCUCUUCUUGCGGUACACAACGACUACCAUCAGUUGCAGCCCGGCGCGCAAACGUCGUCUUCCUAAUAAACAGAUAAGGGUGCACAACAUUGUGGAUCCAACCUUGCCGGCGACGCUGAGAAAAAAAGGCAAAUCUAUCCAUUCGGGCACUGCACGAGGCGAGAAGCUAGGAGCUAUGGUGAUGGCGGCGGCGGGAGGUGGGAGGCGGGAGGCGACGGAUUCCAGUUCCUAGCAGAUCCGGUUCACAGGUUUCCCUUGCCGGAUCUCGCCGCCGGCGGCUCUUUACUGCGCAGUGAAGCCAAGCAAGCUGCGGUACACACGCCCGCCGAAUCCAGCAUUUGUGAUGUGGGUGAUGCGGCGCCGACACCUGACAGUACAACUAUAUUUGAACAUCGCUUGCAAUGGGAUGGCCCUGUCGGCGCCGAACUCAGAGCAAUCGAUGGGCAAGGACGAUCCUCAGCCGCCUGGCUGGACCAAGAGGGUGCGUGUUGGGCAUGCACCUGAUGAACGUCCCCCAUGUGCUGGCAGAAUGAGUGCCUUGAAAAAACAUUGAGAAGAUAUGUAGUUCCUGCGGUAGGAAGCCACUUUAAUUCACUUGGAGAAGCAUAUGUCUAUUACAAUCUGUAUUCUAGGGACACUGGGUUUGGAAUAACGUACGGCAAGAGCAGGCUUAAUGUUGAAAGGAUAAAUGCAUGCAGGAGAUACUAUGUGGCUGCUCCUGCUCGGUAAGCACUGUUUUCAAUGGACCAUCACAUACCCAAUUGGCUGAUGUAUCGGACAUAACAUUUAGCGUCAAUGAAAAGAGAAAUGAAUAAGUUUGACACACUGUUGUACAUGCGACUUCUUUUUGAUAGGGAAGCAAGUGAGAACUAUGAAGAGAGACGUACAAAGAUAGUAAGUUUUUUAAAUAACAUAUGAUGUUCCUAUAUCCUCACUUCCUGCUGUUGUAUCAUGAAACUAAUGCGCGUAAUGAAAAUGAACACACCACUGGAGUUGCAUGCUAGCGAUAUGUACACACGAGCCAUGUUUGAAAAGUUUGGCGAAAUUAUGUAUGAAGCAGGGCAGUACAAAGUAGAGGAGGUCAGUAAAGGGAAAAUCUAUUUCGUGCGACGAUACCAUCCAGAGAAACAUGAAAAGUGGUGCGGGGUGUGUACAAAGUGGAAGUUGUUGAGGAAGGGAGGGAACUGAUAUGUGAGUGUGCUAAUUUCGAGCACACAUUCUUGCUCUGCUGCCAUGCAGUUAAGGUCCUUGAUUUCCUCGGCAUAUACCAGAUACCAGCAAAACAUAUUCUGAAACGUUGGACAAAGGAUGCAGGAGAUGUAUUGUCCACCCACUUAUCACACCUUCAGAAGGAUAGCAUUUCAGUGAAUUCAAUAACCUUUAGGCACUCAAAUCUUCACACACAUGCACUCGAAGUGGUGAGGCUGGAGAUGCAAAUACAGAGGCCUAUGACUAUGAGUGUGCAAUGGACAUCUUGAAGAUAGCAAUGGAUAAACUGACACCAAUAGCCGCCAUGCGAGAUGGAAUGUGAUUGCAUUGGAAGACAAAAUUCAGCCAAACAAGAGAUGUCUACACCUGAUUCAGGCGGGGGCUCUGUUAGCCAUGUGUCUUCCAGCUCUAGCUCGAGUGCCCUUGCAGUCAGCGAUGAGCACGACCUGCAUCUUCAGUUCUUGCCAUCUGAUGAUCAUGUCGCUGGCGGCAGUGCUCCAGGGCAUGCGGCUUUCGUGCAGGUCGGUGAUUGAGGAUACCGUGUACGGGAGGGCUGAUGGUGUAUCGAUGGCAGAUGAAGGUUGCGAAGAUGAGUCACAAGUCCAGUCCCGUUCUUCAACCGUGGAAGAGGUGGGUACCUAUGAUCCAGAAAAUCAGAGCUACGCCGGCGGUGAUAACUGGUCCAAGACAGGAAGCUACUCCGAGUUAAGGACCAAGGUUGCUGAUGGAUCCAUCAGCGGCGUCGAUGGUGGGAGACGCGCAGCAAAGCGAGCAAGAGUUGAGGACUGAUGUGUUCCGAAGAUGCUUAAAGCUGUUACCCUUAGUAACCGCUGAACUCAGCGGUGAAAUCCUAGACUAAAAAAGGUGUUUGUGUUAAGAUUAGUGGCGUACAAGUUUGCGCCAGUGUGGUGCGGCGGGUUCAAUGUGGAUCUAGGAGUCCUGGUAGGUUUGUGUGGAAAAAAUAAAAGGAGGUUAGGUUUUGGUUUGUCGAAAUCCAUGUAUGUUGAUUAGAUUAUGUUUUCAGUGUCUGCCCCCAAUGACUGGUCAACUCAUGCUCGUUUGCAACUUUGGUACAUCGAACAUAGAAAUCGUUGUAGACUACCCGCC
rnacentral:rRNA from 1 species